UAGCUGGUCUGAGAGGACGAUCAGCCACACUGGGACUGAGACACGGCCCAGACUCCUACGGGAGGCAGCAGUGGGGAAUCUUGCGCAAUGGGCGAAAGCCUGACGCAGCGACGCCGCGUGAGGGAAGAAGGCCUUCGGGUUGUAAACCUCUUUCAGGAGGGACGAAGCCACUCAGGUUAAUAGCCGAGAGGGUGACGGUACCUCCAGAAGAAGCCCCGGCUAACUACGUGCCAGCAGCCGCGGUAAUACGUAGGGGGCAAGCGUUGUCCGGAAUUAUUGGGCGUAAAGAGCGUGUAGGCGGCCAGAUAAGUCCGCUGUGAAAACUCGAGGCUCAACUUCGAGCUGUCGGUGGAAACUAUCUGGCUAGAGUCCGGAAGAGGAGAAUGGAAUUCCUGGUGUAGCGGUGAAAUGCGCAGAUAUCAGGAAGAACACCCGUGGCGAAGGCGGUUCUCUGGGACGGUACUGACGCUGAGACGCGAAAGCGUGGGGAGCGAACAGGAUUAGAUACCCUGGUAGUCCACGCCGUAAACGAUGGGUGCUAGGUGUGGGGGGUGUCAACUCCCUCCGUGCCGAAGCUAACGCAUUAAGCACCCCGCCUGGGGAGUACGGCCGCAAGGCUAAAACUCAAAGGAAUGGACG
rnacentral:rRNA from 1 species